rnacentral:lncRNA from 1 species
GAAGGGUUCAUCCGGGUGAAGUCCUGAACCCUAGCUGCUUUGGGAGUGGCCACUUUAUUGGCUGAAAUGACUGGUGGCCGUUCAUUCUGUGCAGCCAUGGACUGAGCAAGUGUGGGAAAUGCGGCUCUAAACACCGCAUGGGAAACAUGUUUGCCCAAAGGAUCUUCGGGCUGAGGAGCUAGCUGGUUUCUUCUAUUUGGGGCCAUGGUCAGGACUAAGAGAAGAAUGGAUUAGAAUGAGAGUUUAACUUGUGAUUAUGCUUACUAGCAUGACAUGAAUAAUGAAGAAAGGGGACUGUUCCUAAAACAUCUUAU